GACCGAACACUUUGAACCAAGUAU
rnacentral:piRNA from 1 species